GGAAUAUUGGACAAUGGGGGAAACCCUGAUCCAGCGACGCCGCGUGGGUGAAGAAGGCCUGUGGGUUGUAAAGCCCUUUCAGUGGGGAAGAAAAGUCUCGAGCUAAUAUCUCGGGAUCUUGACGUAACCCAUAGAAGAAGCACCGGCUAACUCUGUGCCAGCAGCCGCGGUAAUACAGAGGGUGCGAGCGUUAAUCGGAAUUACUGGGCGUAAAGCGCGCGUAGGCGGCUUUGCAAGUCGGGUGUGAAAUCCCCAAGCUUAACUUGGGAACUGCAUUCGAGACUGCUUUGCUAGAGUAUGGGAGAGGGAAGUGGAAUUUCAGGUGUAGCGGUGAAAUGCGUAGAUAUCUGAAGGAACAUCAGUGGCGAAAGCGACUUCCUGGACCAAUACUGACGCUCAUGUGCGAAAGCGUGGGGAGCAAAC
rnacentral:rRNA from 1 species